rnacentral:RNase_P_RNA from 1 species
UGAGUCGGUCGGAUGGUUACUCUCGGACCGCAUCAGCAGCCCGAGAGAGGAAAGUCCGGGCACCGCAGAAAAGGAUGCCCCAUAGCGUGGGGAGUUCCGCCUGAGCGGAAUAUGGAAAGUGCAGCAGAAAAUAAACCGCCGCAAAAUUAUUUCGCGGUAAGGGUGAAAGGGUGGUGUAAGAGACCACCAGUCCCCGAUGAGAACCGGGAAGCUUGUAAACCCCAUCCGGUGCAAGACCGAAUAGGCUUCGAGACGUGUUUCGCGUCAACUAAGGAGCGGGUAGGUUGCUUGACCCAGGCAGAAACGUUUGGGCUAGAUAAAUGACCAUCCUUUUGGUGUUGAAAUAUCAAGCCAAAGGACAGAACUCGGCUUAUAGACCGACUCAAUAA